GAUUAUGGCUCAGGAUGAACGCUGGCGGCGUGCUUAACACAUGCAAGUCGAACGGAGAUAGCGGAGAGCUUGCUUCUGCUAUCUAGGUGGCGGACGGGUGAGUAACGCGUGGGUAACCUACCCUGUACAGGGGGAUAGCAGCUGGAAACGGCUGAUAAACCGCAUAAAACGGCAGUGCCGCAUGGUACAACCGUCAAAUAUCAUAGGUACAGGAUGGGCCCGCGUCUGAUUAGCCAGUUGGUGGGGUAACGGCCUACCAAAGCGACGAUCAGUAGCCGGCCUGAGAGGGUGAACGGCCACAUUGGGACUGAGACACGGCCCAAACUCCUACGGGAGGCAGCAGUGGGGAAUAUUGGACAAUGGGGGAAACCCUGAUCCAGCGACGCCGCGUGAGUGAAGAAGUAUCUCGGUAUGUAAAGCUCUAUCAGCAGGGAAGAUGAUGACGGUACCUGACUAAGAAGCACCGGCUAAAUACGUGCCAGCAGCAGC
rnacentral:rRNA from 1 species